CUCUUCAUUGCUGAAAUCUAACGUUGAUCAUGUGGCAGUCCCACUUUAUGGUUUGUUGCAGGCAAAGAGGCAUCCACCUAGCCUUUGACACCCUAGUCUGUUUUUAACGUUGUUAAUAUUAACUCAUUAACUGACAAUGUGAAUGUGCCCAAAUGUACCUACUUAUAGUAUUUACUCUGUCUAACGCCAGACGAUUAAUUACUCGUCAGUGGUAUAGUGCUGCCAGUAAAUGGGUUAAAGUGAAUGUUAAUUAAAUAUGAAUCAAGUUGAAAUCGGUUGUAAUAACCAACUGAUUCAUUAACCCAUUAAGUUGCAAGACUCCACUUGAUGAGUAAAAUCAUCUAGCGUUAGACAGAGUAAAGAUUUAUUGUGUUAUCUGCCGCUGUUGGAAGAUCUUUUCCUUGAACAUUUUACUGAAGAUUUACUGUGUCAUCUGCUGCUGUUGGAAGUUUCUUUUCCUUGAACAUUUUACUAAAGAUUUGCUGUGUCAUCUGCUGCUAUUGGAAGAUCCUUUUCCUUGAACAUUUUACUAAAGAUUUACUGUGUCAUCUGCUGCUGUUGGAAGAUCCUUUUCCUUGAACAUUUUACUAAAAAUUUACUGUGUUAUUGUGCAUAAUUUCUAGUAAAAUAUAAGAAAAAUUCAAAUGUUGUAUUUCCAAAAAUAUGCACUCAGACUUUAUGGACCCAGGGGGAGGGACAGCU